rnacentral:rRNA from 1 species
ACCUCUUUCAGCAGGGAAGAAGCGAAAGUGACGGUACCUGCAGAAGAAGCGCCGGCUAACUACGUGCCAGCAGCCGCGGUAAUACGUAGGGCGCAAGCGUUGUCCGGAAUUAUUGGGCGUAAAGAGCUCGUAGGCGGCUUGUCACGUCGGUUGUGAAAGCCCGGGGCUUAACCCCGGGUCUGCAGUCGAUACGGGCAGGCUAGAGUUCGGUAGGGGAGAUCGGAAUUCCUGGUGUAGCGGUGAAAUGCGCAGAUAUCAGGAGGAACACCGGUGGCGAAGGCGGAUCUCUGGGCCGAUACUGACGCUGAGGAGCGAAAGCGUGGGGAGCGAACAGGAUUAGAUACCCUGGUAGUCCACGCCGUAAACGGUGGGCACUAGGUGUGGGCAACAUUCCACGUUGUCCGUGCCGCAGCUAACGCAUUAAGUGCCCCGCCUGGGGAGUACGGCCGCAAGGCUAAAACUCAAAGGAAUUGACGGGGGCCCGCACAAGCGGCGGAGCAUGUGGCUUAAUUCGACGCAACGCGAAGAACCUUACCAAGGCUUGACAUACACCGG